GAUCUGCUUCUAUUCACUGCCUUUGGACUCCAACUUGGAUCAGAACUUACACCAAUAGCUCUCCUAGAACUGGAGCCUUGGUCUCCAUAAUUUGAGAAGACUGAGGCUCAACAAAGCUAAGCCACCUGUCCAAGACUGCACAGCUGGGCGGAAGCUCCGCCGUCUGACCUUGAGACCUGUACUCUUUCCCACUCCUUAGUAAUGACAGGGCCUGUGGGGUCUCAGGGAUCCACUUUGGGAAAGUUUUGACUUUCAGAUCCCCAUAGAAAAGGCAGACAACUGAGAGUCAUCAAACACUACACCAUGCUCAGGUAGGCAAAGUG
rnacentral:lncRNA from 1 species